rnacentral:sRNA from 1 species
AAAAAGGCCACGCCCAUGUGGCUGUCCGAGUGUGGGCGCCUCCGGGCCUCUGCGGAGCCCUGGGCGGCUCUGAGCUCGCGGAGGCGUGGCCGGUGCGCGGGGCCCGCGGCGCGCGGGGAUGGGGGUCUCGGUGGAUGUGCACCAGGUGUACAAGUACCCCUUCGAGCAGGUGGUCGCCAGCUUUCUCCGAAAGUACCCCAACCCCAUGGAUAAAAAUGUCAUCUCAGUAAAAAUCAUGGAGGAAAAAAGAGAUGAAUCAACAGGGGUCAUCUACAGAAAGAGGAUUGCAAUCUGUCAGAACGUGGUUCCAGAAAUUUUAAGGAAGGUAAGUUCAUUUUAAAAUGUAAUCACAGUUGUAACAUUGAGUAAUUUUUAAUAGUCAUGAAAAGGAACAGCAUUUUCUGAUGUAAAGGAGCAUUAGAAACUUCCUACUCCUUUUACCUCAGAACCUUCUGAGGAAGAAAGCUCUUUCUUAUCCAACCUGACUUUUAGCAGAUGCCACUGGAGAUACUUUGUCUCUCUGUCUUGUGAAGAACUCUUAAUGGACAUAGAGAUAUUGUGCAGUUACUUUAAAGAUACUUU